rnacentral:rRNA from 1 species
CCUACGGGUGGCAGCAGUGAGGAAUAUUGGUCAAUGGACGGAAGUCUGAACCAGCCAUGCCGCGUGCAGGAAGACUGCCCUAUGAGUUGUAAACUUCUUUUGUACAAGGGUAAACCUGAAUACGUGUAUUCAGCUGAAAGUACUUUACGAAUAAGGAUCGGCUAACUCCGUGCCAGCAGCCGCGGUAAUACGGAGGAUCCAAGCGUUAUCCGGAUUUAUUGGGUUUAAAGGGUGCGUAGGCGGGUUGUUAAGUUAGAGGUGAAAUGUCCGAGCUUAACUCGGGAACUGCAUUUAAUACUGUUGGUCUAGAGAAUAGGUGCGGUAGGCGGAAUGCAUGGUGUAGCGGUGAAAUGCUUAGAGAUCAUGCAGAACACCGAUUGCGAAGGCAGCUUACCAAUCUAUCUCUGACGUUGAGGCACGAAAGCGUGGGGAGCAAACAGGAUUAGAUACCCUUGUAGUC